rnacentral:tRNA from 1 species
GGGUCGUUAGCUCAGUUGGUAGAGCAGUUGACUUUUAAUCAAUUGGUCGCAGGUUCGGUAUUGAGCGCAGCGAAACAACGGAGCCGGUUACGGCGACGGCCCGAAGGGCGAGCGAAGCGAGUCAUCCUGCACGACCCACCA